UUAGAUCCAAAGUUUUUAGUUCAAAGUCUGUUGCAAAUAUCCUUGCAUUCAAGAGAGACAUGAAGAAGGUGAUUUUCAUGGUCUUACUCUUAGUUAUUGCCACCGAGUUCAUAGUUGAAACAGAAUCCUGUAAGAAUGUUUAUGACUGCAGAGAAAAAUUCCAACCGGAAGCAACCACCUGCACGAAAGUUACGGAUUGCGUAGGAAAACUUCCUCAUCCAUAUUGCUUCUUUCAGUGUUCUAAAGGGAAAUGCAUUUCGGCGUGUGACAAGAAAUCUGCAAAUGAAUUGCGAAUGUGAAUUGAAGCUUUCAGAAUAAAUGAAUAAAUAAUCAUGAAUAAUACUUCUUUUUCAAAGUUAUCUUUGUUCCCCUAGUCUUCCCUAUAAUGAAUUAUGAAAUAUAUUGGCAACAAAGAUCUUUUGAU